rnacentral:rRNA from 1 species
UACGUAGGGUGCGAGCGUUAAUCGGAAUUACUGGGCGUAAAGCGUGCGCAGGCGGCUUUUUAAGCCAGAUGUGAAAUCCCCGGGCUCAACCUGGGAACUGCAUUUGGAACUGGAAGGCUAGAGUGUAGCAGAGGGGGGUAGAAUUCCACGUGUAGCAGUGAAAUGCGUAGAGAUGUGGAGGAAUACCGAUGGCGAAGGCAGCCCCCUGGGCUAACACUGACGCUCAUGCACGAAAGCGUGGGGAG